CUCACAAAGUUUGCAAGCUGGUUACAAAGAGCAAAUAAGUGAAUCAUAAUAUUAUUUGCAAUCAAGACCAUUGGUUUGAACUCUAAUAUGCAGCUGCUGACAUCUAACCUUGAGUUGGGUCACUUCUAGCCAGAGAUAGCAUAGGUUAGUUGCUAGGAUAUACUUAGAUGAAUCCCUAGUUAAAGUUUGAUUUUUGUCCUACUUUCAGACUAAGUUUCAGCUAUAACUUCUUUUAAGCCUGUGACAUGGUGUCCAAUCAUCUGGUUAAGAUGAACUAUAGAUGAUUUUGGAGUUCAUCCUCAAUAAGCCAACAUGAUCAAGAUAUAUACAUGUAUAUGUACAUACAUAUACAUGUAUAUGUACAUAUACAUGUAUAUAUAGAUAUGUAUGUACACAC
rnacentral:lncRNA from 1 species